rnacentral:lncRNA from 1 species
UCCUUGAUUCUUCAAUAAUUUUAUGAUCAAAAUAAAAAGCUUAAUAAAGUGGAGAAGAUUAUUCAUAGUAACUGACUGAAUUUGUCCACUGGAAGUGCAUCGCAUGGUAAUCAUGUUAAUUCAAAAUCUGAACCAUAUUCAAAUUUAAUCAUAUAAGAUGUCAUGCAAUCUCUCAUUUCUUCUAACACUACCUUUAAAACACAACUCACUCAAAUGAUUUCACUAGUAAAUAACUACCUGCAAACCAAGGAACCAAAAGUCACAAACUAAAACAAACCAUGAUACACAACACAUGAUGCUGAACCACACCGCACUGAUCCGCUAACUUCUCAUCGGGAAAAUAGUGAGAUUGAGGUAUACACUAAGCCAUGAAAACACCAAAGCAAAUCUAUUCUAAUCAAGGGCAAGCUCAAACAAUCUUAAAAUACUUAUUCCUAACCAAAAUUAAAGAGGGAUAAUAAUUCAUGACACAACAUGCUAAACAAAGAACUUGUGAACAAUGGAUCCUAAUUCGAAUCAGUACGAUAAAAUGAUGUAUAUAGCUUUCUUACCACUUCCACUAUCAAAUGAUCAAAUAUCCAAAUUCAUUAUUAAAUGCAAACUGAACCUACUUGAAAUUUAGAGGAAAAUUGAACCUGAAAACUUAAUAUAAUUGAAUUUUUU